rnacentral:rRNA from 1 species
UAGUUGCUUCGGAAGGGCACUCUAAGGAGACUGCCGGUGACAAACCGGAGGAAGGUGGGGAUGACGUCAAGUCCUCAUGGCCCUUAUGGGUAGGGCUACACACGUCAUACAAUGGCCGGUACAAAGGGUUGCCAACCCGCGAGGGGGAGCCAAUCCCAUAAAACCGGUCGUAGUCCGGAUUGCAGUCUGCAACUCGACUGCAUGAAGUCGGAAUCGCUAGUAAUCGCGAU